GACGAACGCUGGCGGCGUGCUUAACACAUGCAAGUCGAACGGAAAGGCCCUGCUUUUGUGGGGUGCUCGAGUGGCGAACGGGUGAGUAACACGUGAGUAACCUGCCCUUGACUUUGGGAUAACUUCAGGAAACUGGGGCUAAUACCGGAUAGGAGCUCCUGCUGCAUGGUGGGGGUUGGAAAGUUUCGGCGGUUGGGGAUGGACUCGCGGCUUAUCAGCUUGUUGGUGGGGUAGUGGCUUACCAAGGCUUUGACGGGUAGCCGGCCUGAGAGGGUGACCGGGGGCAUGGAGCGGAGAGUCCGGCCCAGAGGCGGGCGGGAGGAGGGAGUGGGGAGUAGGGGAGAGUGGGCGGAGGAGGAGGGAGGCAAGGCGGGGUGGGGGAGGAGGGCUGGCGGGUGGCAGCCCGUUUCCGCGUGUGAGGAGGAGGGGGGGAGGGGAAGGGGAAAAGAAGCAACGGCAAACGCCGUGCCAGCAGCCGGGGCAACAAGCGGAAGAGCCCACUUCUGAAC
rnacentral:rRNA from 1 species